GACCCCUUGGCUCAGUGGUAGAGCAUCUGAUUCCAGCCGUUGGUCACGUGAUUCUAUCACUGAGCCGAGCGCUUCCAGAAGGUCGUCCGUUCAAUCCGGGCAGGGGUCA